AAAUGCUUGACCGUGACUCUUCCCUCGACUUGUGCCUGCGCCUGUGUCAAAUCUGCUUGAGAAACUUUUUGCUAUUAUUUACCUUGUACUUUUAAGGAAUUUGGUAUUGCCAUGCUUGGCUGAAAGGCUAUGUGCUGUCAGUAAAAACAUUUGCACUAAAUGCAUGCAACAAUAGGUAAACAGUUUGUCAUGUUAAGUGUUCUGUCAAAAC